UCGUCUGUUCGACUUUUAAACAAUUACAUGAAUUGAGUUCAGACCGGUGCAAACCAGGUCGGUUUCUAUCUUUUUACAUUUCUCACAGUACGAAAGGACCCAAGAAAAUAAUAUUAUUAAU
rnacentral:rRNA from 1 species